AGUAUGACUAGUACGGCGAGUGAGCGGCAACAGCUCAAAUUUGAAAUCUGGCUCUUUUAGAGUCCGAGUUGUAAUUUGCAGAGGGCGCUUUGGCUUUGGCAGCGGUCCAAGUUCCUUGGAACAGGACGUCACAGAGGGUGAGAAUCCCGUACGUGGUCGCUGGCUAUUGCCGUGUAAAGCCCCUUCGACGAGUCGAGUUGUUUGGGAAUGCAGCUCUAAAUGGGAGGUACAUUUCUUCUAAAGCUAAAUAUUGGCCAGAGACCGAUAGCGCACAAGUAGAGUGAUCGAAAGAUGAAAAGCACUUUGGAAAGAGAGUCAAACAGCACGUGAAAUUGUUGAAAGGGAAGCGCUUGCAGCCAGACUUGCUUACAGUUGCUCAUCCGGGUUUCUACCCGGUGCACUCUUCUGUAGGCAGGCCAGCAUCAGUUUGGGCGGUAGGAUAAAGGUCUCUGUCACGUACCUCCUUUCGGGGAGGCCUUAUAGGGGAGACGACAUACUACCAGCCUGGACUGAGGUCCGCGCAUCUGCUAGGAUGCUGGCGUAAUGGCUGUAAGCGGCCCGUCUUGAACCCCCGGACCAACUUACAGGCUUUAGCCGGCAUCCUAUCAAAUGCGCGGACCUCAUCCAGGCGGGUAGAAUGCCUCUCCCUAUAAAGGCUCCCCUAAAGGAGGUACUUGAAAAAACCUUUUCCUCACGCCAACUGAUCUGCCCGCCUAACAAAAAUGCAACGGGGAGAAACCCCGAAGAAAACUG
rnacentral:rRNA from 1 species